rnacentral:misc_RNA from 1 species
GAUUAAGAACGUAGCGAAAUGCGAUAAGUAAUGUGAAUUGCAGAAUUCAGUGAAUCAUCGAAUCUUUGAACGCACAUUGCGCCCCCUGGUAUUCCGGGGGGCAUGCCUGUUCGAGCGUCAUUUCACCACUCAAGCCUCGCUUGGUAUUGGGCAACGCGGUCCGCCGCGUGCCUCAAAUCGUCCGGCUGGGUCUUCUGUCCCCUAAGCGUUGUGGAAACUAUUCGCUAAAGGGUGUUCGGGAGGCUACGCCGUAAAACAACCCCAUUUCUAAGGUUGACCUCGGAUCAGGUAGGGAUACCCGCUGAACUUAAGCAUAUCAAUAAGCGGAGGA